GACAUGUUUACAUGUAGAGAAUCAGAUGACAAUGUAAACAGAAGUAGCUUAAGAUUGGAUCAGGAUGAACAUGAGCUCCAAAUUUUUAUAUCGCUUUGAAGCAAGUCUUUAAACUUAAACAAAUUUCUCAACUUGAGCUUAACUUUCACUUCAUGUUCAUGACCUACAUAGGUACAAAAGUUAGAGCCCACAAUUAUUUUCUGUACACAGUGAACACCUGGAAAUGUGGCAAGAGCCUCGUUCACAUUUUUACAGAGUGCAUUGACAGCACUGAGAGUCGCCACAAAGAAGGUUUCUUCAGGUUGGCAUUGCCCCCCAGUAUUGACUUGUGUUGCCAUCACAUCAUCGCAUUGCUGUUUGUUCAUGGCAUCGAUGCGUCUGAGUCCAACAGUCUGACUGUCGAUAGACUUGGUUGUCUGAAGCACGGACUGCUGAAGAUCUUUGAUGGAGCAAAGUCUCUGAAGCUGAACUCCAAGUGGUCUGGGCUUGUUAUAUAGUAUCCAGGAAUUCAUGCUGGUGACGACGUGCUUCUGGAAGACCUCGGCUGCAUCGAGAGCGAGGAUCAGGACGGCCACAGCCGUCAUGGCUUCCUGUGGAGGGAAAAACAAUCCAAAUGCCUUCAGCUCAAGCGAUGCGACCACACAAUUUUU